UGCAACCUGCCCCGCACCUGGGGAUACGCCGGCACAUCGCCGAAUAAACCCCAGCGGUGCGCCCGGGCCGCCUGGCCUGGGCGUGAUAGGCCUUCGGGCUGGUGCGGGAUGGGCAUGCGGGCCAUUAGCUAGUAGGCGGGGCAACGGCCCACCUAGGCGAUGAUGGCUAGGGGUCCUGAGAGGGAGGCCCCCCACACUGGGACUGAGACACGGCCCAGACUCCUACGGGAGGCAGCAGUGAGGGAUAUUGGUCAAUGGGCGGAAGCCUGAACCAGCCAUGCCGCGUGCCGGAAGACGGCCCUACGGGCUGUAAACGGCUUUUCGCCCCGAGGAAUAAGGGGGCCUCGGCCCCCGAUGCCAGUAGGGGCGGAAUAAGGAUCGGCUAACUCCGUGCCAGCAGCCGCGGUAAUACGGAGGAUUCGAGCGUUAUCCGGAUUUACUGGGUUUAAAGGGCGCGUAGGCGGCCCGGCAGGUCUGCGGUCAAAUGGAGGGGCUCAACCCCUUUUCGCCGUGGAA
rnacentral:rRNA from 1 species